UCCAAUCUAGAAUUCUUGUUAAAUCCAAGAAUGCUGGAGAUUGUAAGUUUUGCCCUUUUACAAAUGGGGAGGAACACCCCAUUGAAUAACUCGUAGAAUGUUGAUGAUGGUGGAAAUUGUGGCUUUGUUUUGUCAAAUUUGGGUGCCUGAUUCGGACCUAUGUUAUGCAAAGCCCAGAAUUUAAAUUUAAAUGUGAUUGCUGUGUGGCGCAUUCCUUUUUGGGGAGGUCUGUUGAUGUUGCGAAGAUUAUCUUCAAACUAUAUGUUCUAUUCACUGAAUUUUUCAAAAUUGAUGCACUUUUAGGUUAUUAGAACAUCGUCUGGUAUUUGAUAAUGUUUAAUUACUGAGUGUUUUAAAUAGAAUAUGCAAUAGUAGAAGCACU
rnacentral:misc_RNA from 1 species